UAACCUGCCCAAGAGAUCGGGAUAACACCUGGAAACAGAUGCUAAUACCGGAUAACAACAGAUGAUGCCUAUCAACUGUUUAAAAGAUGGUUCUGCUAUCACUCUUGGAUGGACCUGCGGUGCAUUAGCUAGUUGGUAGGGUAACGGCCUACCAAGGCGAUGAUGCAUAGCCGAGUUGAGAGACUGAUAGGCCACAUUGGGACUGAGACACGGCCCAGACUCCUACGGGAGGCAGCAGCC
rnacentral:rRNA from 1 species